rnacentral:rRNA from 1 species
AACGAACGCUGGCGGCAUGCCUAACACAUGCAAGUCGAACGAACCUUUCGGGGUUAGUGGCGGACGGGUGAGUAACACGUGGGAACGUGCCUUUAGGUUCGGAAUAACUCAGGGAAACUUGUGCUAAUACCGAAUGUGCCCUUCGGGGGAAAGAUUUAUCGCCUUUGGAGCGGCCCGCGUCUGAUUAGCUAGUUGGUUGAGGUAAUGGCUCACCAAGGCGACGAUCAGUAGCUGGUCUGAGAGGAUGAUCAGCCACAUUGGGACUGAGACACGGCCCAAACUCCUACGGGAGGCAGCAGUGGGGAAUCUUGCGCAAUGGGCGAAAGCCUGACGCAGCCAUGCCGCGUGAAUGAUGAAGGUCUUAGGAUUGUAAAAUUCUUUUACCGGGGACGAUAAUGACGGUACCCGGAGAAGAAGCCCCGGCUAACUUCGUG